AACGAACGCUGGCGGCAUGCCUAACACAUGCAAGUCGAACGAGACCUUCGGGUCUAGUGGCGCACGGGUGCGUAACGCGUGGGAACCUGCCCUUAGGUUCGGAAUAACUCCCCGAAAGGGGUGCUAAUACCGGAUAAUGUCUUCGGACCAAAGAUUUAUUGGCUUUGGAUGGGCCUGCGUUGGAUUAGCUAGUUGGUAGGGUAAAAGCCUACCAAGGCGACGAUCCAUAGCUGGUCUGAGAGGAUGAUCAGCCACACUGGGACUGAGACACGGCCCAGACUCCUACGGGAGGCAGCAGUGGGGAAUAUUGGACAAUGGGCGAAAGCCUGAUCCAGCAAUGCCGCGUGAGUGAUGAAGGCCUUAGGGUUGUAAAGCUCUUUUACCCGGGAUGAUAAUGACAGUACCGGGAGAAUAAGCUCCGGCUAACUCCGUG
rnacentral:rRNA from 1 species